UACGGAGGAUGCAAGCGUUAUCCGGAAUUAUUGGGCGUAAAGAGUCCGUAGGUGGCGAUUCAAGUCUGCUGUCAAAGCGUGGAGCUUAACUCCAUUAAGGCAGUGGAAACUGAAUGGCUAGAGUCCGGUAGGGGUAGCGGGAAUUCCCAGUGUAGCGGUGAAAUGCGUAGAGAUUGGGAAGAACAUCGGUGGCGAAAGCGCGCUACUGGGCCGGAACUGACACUGAGGGACGAAAGCUAGGGGAGCGAAAGGG
rnacentral:rRNA from 1 species